rnacentral:rRNA from 1 species
CCUACGGGUGGCAGCAGUGGGGAAUAUUGCACAAUGGGGGAAACCCUGAUGCAGCGACGCCGCGUGAAGGACGAAGUAUUUCGGUACGUAAACUUCUAUUAGCAGGGAAGAAAAUGACGGUGCCUGACUAAGAAGCGCCGGCUAACUACGUGCCAGCAGCCGCGGUAAUACGUAGGGGGCAAGCGCUCUCCGGAUUUACUGGGGGGAAAGGGAGCGUGGACGGGCAGGCAAGUCUGAUGUGAAAACCCGGGGCUCAACCCCGGGACUGCAUUGGAAACUGUGCGGCUGGAGUGUCGGAGAGGCAAGUGGAAUUCCUAGUGUAGCGGUGAAAUGCGUAGAUAUAAGGAAGAACACCAGUGGCGAAGGCAGCUUACUAAACUGCCACUGACAUUGAGGCUCGAAAGUGUGGGGAUCAAACAGGAUUAGAUACCCGUGUAGUC